AGGAGCCCUGUUGGAGGUCACAUGACUCCCACAAGGCCCUCUGGCCAAUGAGGAGCACUUCUCCGGAUACCCUGCGGGGGGCACUAUACUCACAGUCCCGUGACGCCCACGAGGCCCCGUGGCAAAUCAGCAGCAGCUGCUGUGCAUCUGUGCACCAGGGGGCGCCACCCGGUGGGAAGCGAGGGUCCCACGAACCUUUGCGGCAGGAGCCAUUUUGGGGGUCACAUGACUGCCUCGGGCAUCUGCAGUGUGCGCCCUGGUGGGAGUCACGUGACUCCCAGGGCGCCCCGCCGUCUGCACCGGAGGCACUUCCUGAGCCCCUGCGCCGGGGAGGGCCGGGCUUCAGGUCACGUGACCCGUGUGAGGCCCCUCAGCCAAUCAGGAGCAGUGCUCAUGAUGCCCUACAGGAGGCGCCGGUGCAGGAGCCACUGGGUGAGGCACCAGAGGAGCCCUUGCCCUCUGGGGGACCCCCUCCUCUGGAUGCUGCGAUGCCACCGCCGGGUGAUAACCGGACGCCUUCGGGCCAUUGAGACCCUCCUGGAAUGCCCACCUGGGCACCCCCAACCCAUGGUGGGGCCAAUAAAGCAGUAACACCCCAAAAUUGCAGCAGGGAGUACCGCGGGGCCCCAUGGAACGCCUUUAGAGCCGGGACUGCGUUUCCCGUCAUGCCCCGUGGUCCCUGAGAGCCCGUCAGAGCCACGACUGUCCCCCAAGUACCGUCCCAGCUGCUCCGCAAGUGCUUGUCUGAACCGGCUGCAGGGGAAUCUCUGCUCUGGCACCUGCAGCUUCUUCUCACCUGGGGAGCUGCUCAAGGAGGAGGGACAACAGCAGUGAAAGGGACUUGGGACCAAAGGAGGCAUCAGCAGAGCAAGAAACAUUUCCCAAGCUGUUAGCAGCUUCAGCACCCAUUCCACUCUGUCAAUGGAACUCAAAACGGGAGAUCAGUUCAUCUAGGGAGAGGGAUUUCGCCCCAGUUGCUGGCUCUGCAGCAGGACAUCUGUCCCUGUCUCACCUGGCUGAUGUGUGGAAUGUGGUUUAUCAGCUGCAAAGCACCAUCGAGUUCCCGUCCCUGCAAGGAUUUCCACAGAGGCCGGCUGUGGUGUCUCCACUCUGUCCCACCCUCCAUCCCAUCUCCCUCAGCAGGUGUGUGUGGAUGGGGAAUCAUUUU